GACCCUUCUGCAGUUGGUCCGGACCUCACCCAGGGAAGGGUCAGUGACAGGGGAGAGGUUGCCCAUGUUGAUCAUGGACUGCGCGAAGCUGCGGAAGAAGGCGGCCUGGCUGGUGGCGAAGCGGUCGACGAUGGGCGCCGUCGUCCCGGUCGCCUCCGGCGCCGACUUGAGCUCCUGGUCCGACUGGAGGAAGCCGCGGUUGACCUCGAUGUUGGUGUAGUAGUGGUUGUCGAAGGUGU
rnacentral:misc_RNA from 1 species